rnacentral:lncRNA from 1 species
GGGGAGGUUCCUGAAUAAUAUAAGCAUUUUCCUUGUUAAAAUAACUUGAAUAUUUAGAGUUUUCAGUAAGCGCAUGAAUUUUUACUGAAAAAAAAAUACAGCUUCAAUGAAUUCGGAUGACAACUCGGGUUACAUCCCUUUUCAUGAAAUGCUUAAACAUUUAGAGAGGUAUUCAUCUGUAGUCUGGGGCUCUGAGAUGUUUUUUAAAUCUGUCAAGGAUUAGUUAAUGCCAAACUGUUCAUCGUUCCUUUUCUCCUUGUGAUUUGUCCUGGGAAUUGAAGGAAAUGGCUCUCAAUCAUAAGUUGUGAUUUUUUGAUAGGAGUUAACUUGGUUGGCAUUGAGCAGCGUCAAACUUCUGUUAUCUCGUUUACUGCUUUAAUGUUUGGAGGACUUAUUUAUGGUGAAACUAGCAGUUUGCGUGUGCUUUUUUGGUGCUGACUAAUUUAGACAUAACAGGAAGCUUCCGUAAAUUUAUAGUACUAAGUGUUAUUGGAAAAUAUAUGUGCAUAACAUUUGUGAUAAGUAGUUGUCAUAACACUUCAUAUUCCUCCUUUUCCUUUGUACGUGUGUAAUUCUUUUGAAUGAAGAAAAAUGAGGUACCUAUUAUGCCC